CUCCCGGUUGAUCCUGCCGGACCCGACUGCUAUCAGAGUGGGACUAAGCCAUGCGAGUCGACGUAGCAAUGCGUGGCGAACGGCUCAGUAACACGUAGUCAACAUGCCCAGGGGACGUGGAUAACCUCGGGAAACUGAGAAUAAACCACGAUAGGUCACGAUUUCUGGAAUGGAUCAUGGCCUAAAUCUACAUGGCCCCUGGAUUGGACUGCGGCCGAUCAGGCUGUUGGUGAGGUAAUGGCCCACCAAACCUAUAACCGGUACGGGCUCUGAGAGGAGAAGCCCGGAGAUGGGCACUGAGACAAGGGCCCAGGCCCUAUGGGGCGCAGCAGGCGCGAAACCUCUGCAAUAGGCGAAAGCCUGACAGGGUUACUCUGAGUGAUUUCCGCUAAGGGGAUCUUUUGGCACCUCUAAAAAUGGUGCAGAAUAAGGGGUGGGCAAGUCUGGUGUCAGCCGCCGCGGUAAUACCAGCACCCCGAGUGGUCGGGACGAUUAUUGGGCCUAAAGCAUCCGUAGCCGGUUCUGCAAGUCUUCCGUUAAAUCCAGCCGCUCAACGGAUGGGCCGCGGAGGAUACUACAGGACUAGGAGGCGGGAGAGGCAAGCGGUACUCAGUGGGUAGGGGUAAAAUCCUUUGAUCCAUUGAAGACCACCAGUGGCGAAGGCGGCUUGCCAGAACGCGCUCGACGGUGAGGGAUGAAAGCUGGGGGAGCAAACCGGAUUAGAUACCCGGGUAGUCCCAGCUGUAAACGAUGCAGACUCGGUGAUGGGCUAGCCUUGUGCCAGCCCAGUGCCGCAGGGAAGCCGUUAAGUCUGCCGCCUGGGGAGUACGGUCGCAAGACUGAAACUUAAAGGAAUUGGCGGGGGAGCA
rnacentral:rRNA from 1 species